rnacentral:sRNA from 3 species
UUAAGGUUCGAUUCGAGCGCAGCGAGAAAGCGUUGCCGCAGGCAACGACCCGAAGGGCGAAGCGCGCAGCGCUGAGUCAUCCUUCCCCCACCACCA